UUUGUGGAGAGUUUGAUCCUGGCUCAGGACGAACGCUGGCGGCGUGCUUAACACAUGCAAGUCGAACGCUGAAACCGGAGCUUGCUUUGGUGGAUGAGUGGCGAACGGGUGAGUAACACGUGGGUGAUCUGCCCUACACUUUGGGAUAAGCCUGGGAAACUGGGUCUAAUACCGAAUAUUCACACCACCGUAGGGGUGGUGUGGAAAGC
rnacentral:rRNA from 1 species